CCCCCAUCGCCAUCGCAGUCGCUUGGCGGCGACGCGUUGAUAUCCAAAAUCCGCUUACUCUUAACACCUAAAGGCCACCGUUUACUCUUAACACCACCACUCACGCACUCUCCACAUAUCCAAUCCACCAAAUUCAUAGCUUGCCUUCCGUGCAUUCCCGCACAUGUGAUAUGAAACCCACGCUCACACCCGUCGCACACAACUACAUGCCCUCGCACCUCCGGCUUUCCGCAC
rnacentral:misc_RNA from 1 species